GUGUGUGUGUGUGUGUGUGUGUGUGUGUGUGUGUGUGUGUGUGUGUGUGUGUGUGUGUGUGUGCGCCUUCUUUACACUGCCAUGUCAUUUACAGAAUGAAGUCGUUUGUUUUUUUAAACUAAUAAUCAUUUUUGACACUUAUUGCCAAAGCUCAGUUACAUAAUGUUACUUCACUACAGAUAAAUAAUCAUAAGACGUGUUUUUAUAUCUCCCCACACGUAGAAACAUUAUACAUACAAACUACAAAGCUUUAUUUUAAAGCAAGAUAGAUUUAUCGAACUCUGAUUGAUUUGUAGUUUUUAGUAGCACCUCCAACAGAAAAGUUUAAUUUAAAACAAAUCAGUCUGAUUGUUAACCGAUGACCGAUCAAUAACGGAUGACUGAUGGAUAACUGUAAAUACUUUCUCCCACUUUGUUUUUUUGUUUUUUUCUGAAAUUAAACUUUCAAAUGUGUUUUCAACUGUUUUUCUUCAUUAAAUAUUUGAACAUCUACA